rnacentral:rRNA from 1 species
GUAUGGAGCAAGCGUUAUCCGGAAUUACUGGGCGUAAAGGGAGCGCAGACGGAUGUGUAAGUCUGAUGUGAAAGGCGGGGGCUCAACCCCUGGACUGCAUUGGAAACUGUAAAUCUUGAGUGCCGGAGAGGUAAGCGGAAUUCCUAGUGUAGCGGUGAAAUGCGUAGAUAUAAGGAAGAACACCAGUGGCGAAGGCGGCUUACUGGUCGGUAACUGACGUUGAGGCUCGAAAGCGUGGGGAGCAAA